rnacentral:rRNA from 1 species
GAGUUUGAUCCUGGCUCAGGAUGAACGCUGGCGGCGUGCUUAACACAUGCAAGUCGAGCGGAGCACAUCGUUGGAAUCCUUCGGGAGGAAGAGGAUGUGGCUUAGCGGCGGACGGGUGAGUAACGCGUGGACAACCUGCCCUAUGCAGGGGGAUAACAUCCGGAAACGGGUGCUAAUACCGCAUAAGCGCACAGUACCGCAUGGUACAGUGUGAAAAGCUGAGGCGGCAUAGGAUGGGUCCGCGUUGGAUUAGGCAGUUGGCGGGGUAACGGCCCACCAAACCGACGAUCCAUAGCCGGCCUGAGAGGGUGGACGGCCACAUUGGGACUGAGACACGGCCCAGACUCCUACGGGAGGCAGCAGUGGGGAAUAUUGCACAAUGGGGGGAACCCUGAUGCAGCGACGCCGCGUGGGUGAGGAAGUACUUCGGUAUGUAAAGCCCUAUCAGCAGGGAAGAAAAUGACGGUACCUGACUAAGAAGCCCCGGCUAACUACGUGC